rnacentral:rRNA from 1 species
UACGGGGGAUGCAAGCGUUAUCCGGAUUUAUUGGGUUUAAAGGGUGCGUAGGCUGCGAGGUAAGUCAGCGGUGAAAUGCCCCCGCUCAACGGGGUGAAGUGCCAUUGAUACUGCCUUGCUGGAAUGCGGAUGCCGUGGGAGGAAUGUGUGGUGUAGCGGUGAAAUGCAUAGAUAUCACACAGAACACCGAUUGCGAAGGCAUCUCACGAAUCCGCGAUUGACGCUGAUGCACGAAAGCGUGGGUAUCAAACAGG